rnacentral:lncRNA from 1 species
CAACACGCAGUCAUCUAUGCUAGUGGUUAGCCCAGGACUUCCUGGGAUCAAAAUAAAAAGAGCGAGCCUGAAAAAUCAACGAAAAUCAUCAUCUGCUGCCAGAUUAGUCGCUGCUAAAGCUGUCAGCAAGGAUCAUGUCAUUGGAGCCGGCAAGAACCAUAAGCUGCCGGCUUCCCUUCAACAAGAUAGAUAUGAGGGCCAAACAGACGGCGGUAAGGUGAUAACCAUCGACUUUUCUUCAUAUAUUUUCCUGAGAGAGUGGAAGAACUACAGAACACCUUCCUCAGCCGUUAGGAGUGAUUAAGCUGUUGAUUUGCUGAAAGUUGCAAGCAUGUAAGUAUUUCAGAGGGUAAUAGAUAUGGACUUGGAAAGAAAUGUACAUAAUCAGCUUUGUAUUUUGCACAAAUGAACUUACAUCUCUGCCAAAGUAUCCAUCGUUUUUUCUCUUGGUGGCAUCCAUUUACACCACCUAUAUAAUCCAGGGAUUCAACCCUCAUGCUUAGUAGUUAGUAAUACUAAUUCUCCAAGCGAUUCUUCUCACAUUUUGUCAGCAACCACUCAAUCUUUAACUUCCCUUUAAUCAGCUACUCUGAUUACAUAGCCUUCGUCAACCCAAUUUUCCUCUCUAAGAAUGCCAAAAGAAGCAGGUAUGACAUAAAAAGCCUCCUUAAUCUCCCCUCUGCUCCAACCCACGCUUGUUCAUCAACUCAAUUGUUUUCUUCCGAGUUGAUUCACUCAUAUGUAUUGUAUCAACGUGCCAACAAUGUAUAAGCACAGAACCCUUUGGUUCAAUGCCAAAUUCUGUAUCAUAUAUCAACAUGCCAACAGCAUGUAUGAGCACACAACCCAUCGGUUCAAGGCCAAAUUCAUAAAAUUCUGAACGUUGCAUGACACCUUUCAAAUCACAAGUCACAAAGAAAGCCUUGAAAAAAAAGCCACCAUUGUGUCAUUUCUACCAAGAACACUCUUCAAACAAACUCAAAUGAUGGAUCAAUUUGAGAAACCAAGGGCUUCUCAAAAGUUAAAGUUAUUAGUU